rnacentral:rRNA from 1 species
UACGUACGUCCCGAGCGUUGUCCGGAUUUAUUGGGCGUAAAGCGAGCGCAGGUGGUUUAUUAAGUCUGGUGUAAAAGGCAGUGGCUCAACCAUUGUAUGCAUUGGAAACUGGUAGACUUGAGUGCAGGAGAGGAGAGUGGAAUUCCAUGUGUAGCGGUGAAAUGCGUAGAUAUAUGGAGGAACACCGGUGGCGAAAGCGGCUCUCUGGCCUGUAACUGACACUGAGGCUCGAAAGCGUGGGGAGCAAACAGG